rnacentral:rRNA from 1 species
GAUGAACGCUGGCGGCGUGCCUAAUACAUGCAAGUCGAGCGAACGGACGAGAAGCUUGCUUCUCUGAUGUUAGCGGCGGACGGGUGAGUAACACGUGGAUAACCUACCUAUAAGACUGGGAUAACUUCGGGAAACCGGAGCUAAUACCGGAUAAUAUUUUGAACCGCAUGGUUCAAAAGUGAAAGACGGUCUUGCUGUCACUUAUAGAUGGAUCCGCGCUGCAUUAGCUAGUUGGUAAGGUAACGGCUUACCAAGGCAACGAUGCAUAGCCGACCUGAGAGGGUGAUCGGCCACACUGGAACUGAGACACGGUCCAGACUCCUACGGGAGGCAGCAGUAGGGAAUCUUCCGCAAUGGGCGAAAGCCUGACGGAGCAACGCCGCGUGAGUGAUGAAGGUCUUCGGAUCGUAAAACUCUGUUAUUAGGGAAGAACAUAUGUGUAAGUAACUGUGCACAUCUUGACGGUACCUAAUCAGAAAGCCACGGCUAACUACGUGCCAGCAGCCGCGGUAAUACGUAGGUGGCAAGCGUUAUCCGGAAUUAUUGGGCGUAAAGCGCGCGUAGCGGUUUUUUAAGUCUGAUGUGAAAGCCCACGGCUCAACCGUGGAGGGUCAUUGGAAACUGGAAAACUUGAGUGCAGAAGAGGAAAGUGGAAUUCCAUGUGUAGCGGUGAAAUGCGCAGAGAUAUGGAGGAACACCAGUGGCGAAGGCGGCUUUCUGGUCUGUAACUGACGCUGAUGUGCGAAAGCGUGGGGAUCAAACAGGAUUAGAUACCCUGGUAGUCCACGCCGUAAACGAUGAGUGCUAAGUGUUAGGGGGUUUCCGCCCCUUAGUGCUGCAGCUAACGCAUUAAGCACUCCGCCUGGGGAGUACGACCGCAAGGUUGAAACUCAAAGGAAUUGACGGGGACCCGCACAAGCGGUGGAGCAUGUGGUUUAAUUCGAAGCAACGCGAAGAACCUUACCAAAUCUUGACAUCCUUUGACGACUCUAGAGAUAGAGCCUUCCCCUUCGGGGGACAAAGUGACAGGUGGUGCAUGGUUGUCGUCAGCUCGUGUCGUGAGAUGUUGGGUUAAGUCCCGCAACGAGCGCAACCCUUAAGCUUAGUUGCCAUCAUUAAGUUGGGCACUCUAAGUUGACUGCCGGUGACAAACCGGAGGAAGGUGGGGAUGACGUCAAAUCAUCAUGCCCCUUAUGAUUUGGGCUACACACGUGCUACAAUGGACAAUACAAAGGGCAGCGAAACCGCGAGGUUAAGCAAAUCCCAUAAAGUUGUUCUCAGUUCGGAUUGUAGUCUGCAACUCGACUACAUGAAGCUGGAAUCGCUAGUAAUCGUAGAUCAGCAUGCUACGGUGAAUACGUUCCCGGGUCU